CGAAAGGUUGGACGGACAUCGCCCGACGGUGAGGUGAGCCGUGGACCAGAAUCCACGUUCCCGUCUGAUCCAUGGCUCAGGAAGUUCGCUUUCCAUCCAGUGGAUCCAGACCCGAGAUGAAUGCAGGGACGAGAGUGUUCUUGGCUAGGGCGUGGUUCAGUUGGAAGUUGCGGACUACUAGAUAGAGGCAAGGAGUGCCGGCGACCAGACACCAUGGGAUUUCUGAUACAGCUAAUCGGCAGAUCCAGUGUGGGGAAAAUUCUGGGGUGGGGGAUUAGGAGGUGGACCUGCAGGCGGAGCGCGAGGCAGCCGGCGAUGGACAGCGGCGGCGGACAAAUAUUGUUCGCGCACGAAGCUGCGGCCAACAGAAGGGAGAGCUUGCCGCUAUGUCGGAGCUGUCAACGGGGAAGAUGAAUCCCCAAGCACUGGGGUGGAACAAAAGGCUUAGGAUUGGUGCUGCCGCACCUAGCAGAACACCAUUAGUGCGGCUGGAUAGAGUAAUUGUAGGGCUCGUUUCCUUUCUGGAGCUCCUGGAACUGGAAAAUUGCUUUUACCGUUAGUGCGGCAUGAUAGAGUUAUUGUAGGACUCAUUUCCUCUCUGGAGCUCCUGGAAGUUUCAAUUGUGAAAUAGAGGACCUUGUAGAAGCGAAGCCGGGGGUAGGAGACGACGCUAUUGAUGGAUUUCUUAAUGCAGCCUAUCAAUAGAUUCCAUGUGCUUUCAGAGGUGGAGGACAAUGAAGCAUCCAUGGAUCUGCGACCCUACACGGUGGCUACUUUGGUGGGGGAGCUGGAACAAGCAUCAGUGCCCGUUAAGCUUAGAUCUAGGAUGAAGAAGGAAGAACUUAAGCCAGGUGUCCAAGCAGUCGACCGGCAAGAUGAACCUGCAAGCCCGGGGUGGACUAGGAGUAAGAGAUUAGUGCAUAACUGAAAUCCCCUAUUGAUUUCCACUUUCCUGGUAUACGUCAUUGACAUGGAAGUAUGUGGUGUUCAUAGUUAGUCUACUAGCAGUCUGCAUAUAGAUUUGGGAGCUCUACGGGUGACUUGUGUUGAGAAAAAUAAUUCAUUUUCUUCCACU